rnacentral:hammerhead_ribozyme from 1 species
AUCCAGCUGGUGAGUCCCAAAUAGGACGAAACGCGGGUCCUGAAC